GUACUCGCUUCAGCAGCACAUAUAAUAAAAUUGAAACAAUAGAGAGAAGGUUAGUGUAGCCCCUGGGCAAGUUGACAUAUAAAUUCAUGAAGGGUUCCAUAUUUUG
ensembl:snRNA U6 U6 spliceosomal RNA